GACGAACGCUGGCGGCGUGCUUAACACAUGCAAGUCGAACGGAAAGGCCCUGCUUUGGUGGGGUGCCCGGGGGGCGAAGGGGGGAGUAACAGGUGAGUAACCUGCCCUUGACUUUGGGAUAACUUAAGGAAACUGGGCCUAAUACCGGAUAGGAGCUCCGGCUGCAGGGUGGGGGUGGGAAAGUUUCGGCGGUUGGGGAUGGACUCGCGGCUUAUCAGCUUGUUGGUGGGGUAGUGGCUUACCAAGGCUUUGACGGGUAGCCGGCCUGAGAGGGUGACCGGCCACAUUGGGACUGAGAUACGGCCCAGACUCCUACGGGAGGCAGCAGUGGGGAAUAUUGCACAAUGGGCGGAAGCCUGAUGCAGCAACGCCGCGUGCGGGAUGACGGCCUUCGGGUUGUAAACCGCUUUCGCCUGUGACGAAGCGUGAGUGACGGUAAUGGGUAAAGAAGCACCGGCUAACUACGUG
rnacentral:rRNA from 1 species